AUUGAACGCUGGCGGCAUGCCUUACACAUGCAAGUCGAACGGUAACAGGUCUUCGGAUGCUGACGAGUGGCGAACGGGUGAGUAAUACAUCGGAACGUGCCUAGUAGUGGGGGAUAACUACUCGAAAGAGUGGCUAAUACCGCAUGAGAUCUACGGAUGAAAGCAGGGGAUCGCAAGACCUUGUGCUACUAGAGCGGCCGAUGGCAGAUUAGGUAGUUGGUGGGAUAAAAGCUUACCAAGCCGACGAUCUGUAGCUGGUCUGAGAGGACGAUCAGCCACACUGGGAAUGAGACACGGCCCAGACUCCUACGGGAGGCAGCAGUGGGGAAUUUCGGACAAUGGGCGCAAGCCUGAUCCAGCAAUGCCGCGUGCAGGAUGAAGGCCUUCGGGUUGUAAACUGCUUUUGUACGGAACGAAAAGCCCUGGGUUAAUACCCUGGGGUCAUGACGGUACCGUAAGAAUAAGCACCGGCUAACUACGUGCCAGCCGCCGCCGUAAUAC
rnacentral:rRNA from 1 species